rnacentral:rRNA from 1 species
GACGAACGCUGGCGGCGUGCCUAAUACAUGCAAGUCGAGCGGACGAAUCGAAAGCUUGCUUUUGAUUCGUUAGCGGCGGACGGGUGAGUAACACGUGGGCAACCUGCCCUGUAGACGGGGAUAACACCGAGAAAUCGGUGCUAAUACCGGAUAACACGAAAUGUCGCAUGACGUUUCGUUGAAAGACGGCGCAAGCUGCCGCUACAGGAUGGGCCCGCGGCGCAUUAGCUAGUUGGUGAGGUAACGGCUCACCAAGGCGACGAUACGUAGCCAACCUGAGAGGGUGAUCGGCCACACUGGGACUGAGACACGGCCCAGACUCCUACGGGAGGCAGCAGUAGGGAAUCUUCCGCAAUGGACGAAAGUCUGACGGAGCAACGCCGCGUGAGCGAAGAAGGCCUUCGGGUCGUAAAGCUCUGUUGUUAGGGAAGAACAAGUAACGCAGUAACUGGCGUUACCGUGACGGUACCUAACGAGAAAGCCACGGCUAACUACGUG